GGCGUCCUCCACACUCUGACCCUGCAGCCAUGCUGCCGGGCUAAAGCGGGUUUAAUUAAUGGCGCCUGAGGCCGGCUCCUGAGGGCUCCUGAGGCAGCUUGAAACCCAGCAAAAUCUCCCUGGCUGAUAAAAUCUCAGUGGCUAAAAUGGAAAUACUGGGACCCGGGUAGGUGGAACUUGCAUUUUCAAAGCCACCUUUCCUCCAUCCCCUCCAUCUGGUCGGGCUGCUGGAACCCUCACAGUGGAGAACUCCCGGCUGAGGAGUCUACACUUUGGUCAUGCCUCAUAGAAGAACAGCCCCAGCCAUAGUAUUAAAAGGAGGAAACAUCACAGCAGACAGCUAAUUCCUACACUAUAGACAGGAAAUGCAGAAGCCCGACAGGCCAUCAGAGAAUUGCACACCUGGGCUGUCUUGAUCUGGUUCCUUGGAGAAUUGCUCUGUGGAUCUGAGCCUUGGCCCCGCGCCAUCGGCCCACACUGAGGAGUGCCGCAAACAACCCCCGGGGCCCCCCUAACCACUUUCUCUGUGCUUUAUUU
rnacentral:lncRNA from 1 species